rnacentral:lncRNA from 1 species
GCUGGUAAUCCUUAUUGUCCUCCCGCAGCUCCUUUCCUGGCAGGGGGGGCAGGUCAUCUGUGUUCACACUCAGCAGCUUUGGCCACACUUUGCAGCGAAUCUCAUCUGUCAGCAGCCCUCCUUCACUGAUGGCCAUUCGUCUGAGAGCUGCCACGUCGAUAGGGUCGCUGUUCAGGGCCUGGUAAAUUUCUGCCACUUUUCUUUUCUUCUUCGAGUCAAAGUCGUGGCCGCCGACGCCGUUGCGCGGCGGGCUCCGCCGGGCCAUGUUGCCGGGCGCUGCGGCGCAUGCCGGGCCGACGGCCGGGCCGGGUUGGGGCUGGGCGCUCCCGCACCGCCCGCUCCUGUCCCGUCCCUUCCGCGCCCCCACCCGCUCCCCCGCCCCUCC